GGAGUUCUGAAUGCGGAUGCUGUGGGAGGAAUGUGUGGUGUAGCGGUGAAAUGCAUAGAUAUCACACAGAACACCGAUUGCGAAGGCAUCUCACAAAUCCGUGAUUGACGCUGAGGCACGAAAGUGUGGGGAUCAAACAGGAUUAGAUACCCUGGUAGUCCACACUGUAAACGAUGAUAACUCGCUGUCGGCGAUACACAGUCGGUGGCCAGCGAAAGCGAUAAGUUAUCCACCUGGGGAGUACGACCGCAAGGUUGAAACUCAAAGGAAUUGACGGGGGCCCGCACAAGCGGAGGAACAUGUGGUUUAAUUCGAUGAUACGCGAGGAACCUUACCCGGGCUCGAACGGCAAGUGAACGACACAGAGAUGUGAAGGUCCUUCGGGACACUUGUCGAGGUGCUGCAUGGUUGUCGUCAGCUCGUGCCGUGAGGUGUCGGCUUAAGUGCCAUAACGAGCGCAACCCUUGCCGUCAGUUACCAGCACGUCGUGGUGGGGACUCUGGCGGGACUGCCACCGUAAGGUGUGAGGAGGGGGGGGAUGACGUCAAAUCAGCACGGCCCUUACGUCCGGGGCGACACACGUGUUACAAUGGUGGGUACAGAGGGCAGCUACCUGGUGACAGGAUGCAAAUCUCGAAAACCCAUCUCAGUUCGGAUCGGAGUCUGCAACUCGACUCCGUGAAGUUGGAUUCGCUAGUAAUCGCGCAUCAGCCAUGGCGCGGUGAAUACGUUCCCGGGCCUUGUACACACCGCCCGUCAAGCCAUGAAAGCUGGGGGUGCUUGAAGUCCGUGACCGAAAGGAGCGGCCUAGGGCAAAACUGGUAA
rnacentral:rRNA from 1 species